rnacentral:misc_RNA from 1 species
AUGCAUAAAGCACAAAACAUGAAUAUCCAACUUAUAAAUUAGAAUAAUUUCAUAUUACUACAGAUGAAUGAGUAAUCAAUUUUGCAUUUUCAAAACUUACAAAGCUACAUAAACUCAGUAGUGGUAAAUUUCAAAAUAGCCACCAUAACAACAACCAAAAGGGUUUCUUUUCCAAGAAGGGAAGAGGGGAUUUGAUCAAUGCCAAUGCAUUUGUAACAAAUUUAUAGUAUCGGUCAUGAUGUCAUAUUUGAUGUUGGUUUGGUUUUGUAGAUAAAUAACUUAUUCAAUCAUAUAACUGAUGCUGCUUCAUUUUUACAACUUUAAAAGAUCAUGAGAUUCAUCUCAAAUAUUUAAUACUCUGAAGUCUAAUCAUUUAAGAAAAAGCAUGAUAAUUUAAAGCAGCUGCAAAUGCAAAAACGAAAAGAUCCAUAAACAUGGAAAUAAAACACACAAACACACACCCACAAAAGCACAGUAUGAUGCCACGAGUACAUGAAAGAGAACAUUUAAACCUGAAGACGGGGCAA